UACGGAGGGGGCUAGCGUUGUUCGGAAUUACUGGGCGUAAAGCGCGCGUAGGCGGAUCUGCAAGUCGGGGGUGAAAUCCCGAGGCUCAACCUCGGAACUGCCUUCGAUACUGCGGGUCUCGAGUCCGGGAGAGGUGAGUGGAAUUCCUAGUGUAGAGGUGAAAUUCGUAGAUAUUAGGAAGAACACCAGUGGCGAAGGCGGCUCACUGGCCCGGUACUGACGCUGAGGCACGAAGGCCAGGGGAGCAAACGGG
rnacentral:rRNA from 1 species